UACGUAGGUGGCAAGCGUUGUUCGGAAUUACUGGGCGUAAAGCGUGCGCAGGCGGCGCGUUAAGACAGGUGUGAAAGCCCCGAGCUUAACUUGGGAAUUGCGCUUGUGACUGGCGUGCUGGAGUGUGGCAGAGGGAGGUGGAAUUCCACGUGUAGCAGUGAAAUGCGUAGAGAUGUGGAGGAACACCGAUGGCGAAGGCAGCCUCCUGGGCCAGCACUGACGCUCAUGCACGAAAGCGUGGGGAGCAAACAGG
rnacentral:rRNA from 1 species